rnacentral:rRNA from 1 species
AGAGUUUGAUUCUGGCUCAGAUUGAACGUUGGCGGCAGGCCUCAUACAUGCAAGUCGAACGAGAAAGGCCCUUCGGGGCCGAGUAAAGUGGCGGACGGGUGAGUAAGGCGUAGGAAUCUACCCGGUAGUGGGGGACAACUCGAGGAAACUCGAGCUAAUACCGCAUACGAUCUUCGGAUGAAAGCGGGGGACUCUUCGGAGCCUCGCGCUAUCGGAGGAGCCUACGUUGGAUUAGCUAGUUGGUGGGGUAAUGGCCUACCAAGGCGACGAUCCAUAGCUGGUCUGAGAGGACGAUCAGCCACACUGGGACUGAGACACGGCCCAGACUUCUACGGGAGGCAGCAGUAGGGAAUCUUGCACAAUGGGCGAAAGCCUGAUGCAGCCAUGCUGCGUGUGUGAAGAAGGCCUUAGGGUUGUAAAGCACUUUCAGUGGUGAAGAAAUCCCGCGCACUAAUACUGCGCGGUCUGACGUACCACAGA